rnacentral:misc_RNA from 1 species
AACCAUAGAAACCUGCGGAGUACCUGCGGAGGGAUCAUUACAGAGUUGCAAAACUCCCUAAACCAUUGUGAACGUUACCUGAACCGUUGCUUCGGCGGGCGGCCCGGGUCCUUCCCGGCGCCCCUCGGCCCUCGCGGGCGCCCGCCGGAGGUAAACCAAACUAUUGCAUUGUAUGGCCUCUCUGAGUCUUCUGUACUGAAUAAGUCAAAACUUUCAACAACGGAUCUCAGAUCGGAAGAG